ACAGUGCCUACCUUGGACAGCGCUGACAACAAUUAAAAUGGGGUAAAAAGGCUUCCCAAAUACUUUGGCUGUUGUGGGAAAGAGUAUUCAUCUGUUGGCCAGCAAUAAAAAUCAAAAUAACAGCAAGUA